GUAUGCGGAGAGAAAAAGGCCCGAGUUUUCUUCUGUGUUCUAGAAGCAUACAUCGACUACGCUUCGUUCCAUUUUCGGUUUUGUUCUCGGAUACAGACGCGGCGUGAAAUGGAGUUAUCAAGCGUAUCGAUCAAGCUCUCAGAUAUAAAGGUCGCUGGGUAGCAGAGAGAAGGGGAGAGAUCCAAGAUUUUCGUCCAAGCUUCGGGUCGUUGGGGUGGCAAAAAGAAGGGGAGGGAUCGAAGAUUGUGGUCGACUUCUGGAGGAAGGUUGAAAAAGAGUGGGGGCGUUUCUCAGUUCGUGUAUAGUGUGUGCUUAAUCUAGAAGUUGUACAUAUUGAAGGAGCGGGGAUUUGCUUAAGAAUCAUAAGCAGUUGUGUCUUUGAAGGGCUGGUUGGAUAUCUCUGCGAGGUAGGCUUGGGUUCGUUUUGGAAGAGGUGUGUGCUGAGAUUGUGAUCGAGUUUAGGAGACGGGCUUUGGGAGCAAAAGAGGGUGCAGUGGAGAAACUUCGCCAAUGCUGCCUUGAAGAAAUUUGAGAUUACAAGCAUGGUGGAAAAGACCACUAAAGGUAGGAGAAUGAUGGAGGAAUUAUAAAGAUACACUUUAAUUCAGUUAAGAAAAACAAAACCCCCGCAGCAUCGCGCGGGAAGGAUCAUCUAGUAACUAUACUAAAGUGCAAACGGAGUGACGACAAACGAAAUGAACAGUGGCAGCACCUUUUUGCCCUUCUUUGUUUAUAGGAAUUGCAUAGGCCACCUGUUGCUUUGCUGAGAUACCACCACUCCUUUAUGUAUCGCGUGCCUUCGUUUCAGCAGAAACAGAUGCUCUGAGAGAGAUAGAAAGGUGUUUGUUUGGGAACUUUGGGUUGUCUGCAUGAUCUGUAUCACCACAACGUUCACCACACGUAUCCAGCAAAAAAAGGAUUCCUUACACGUAUCACCACAACGUUCACCAGUGCUUACACGUAUCUGCAACACCUUCACCAGCUCUUACACGUAUAAUUCAAUCACUCUACACAUAUGACCUUUAACAAACGCUUCCAAAAUAAACCGCUCAAUUCAGCUCUCACCUGGAAACAUAGACGCGACGGAGCUCAUACCAAGAAAGAAUCUCUUCUUUCUUGCUUCUGGAGCCUUCUAAUUGGAGAGGACACAGGGAGAAAAUCAUCAAAGCCAAUAAAGGUAAUAAGGUAGCUGAUGCUUUGGCGAAUUAUGGUACGACUGCUCCUAAUAUGGUGUGGUGGGAUGCUCCACCAUCUUUUCUUUUAUCGCAUUGUCAGAGUGACCAAUUGAGUUUUCCCCAAUUUCGGUUACGAUAGCUUAUUUAUUUUCGUUGCUUUUGUAGGGAGGUUUGGUUUGGUCCCCCUCCUAUGUUCCUUUUUUUUCUUCUUACUCUUUUAUUAAAUUCAAAAAAAAAAAAAAAUUGCUCGAAUUGUAGAAGAAGAUGAGAAAAGAGCUCUAAUCAAAGAAUGAUUUAUUGAUUUAUUAGUAAAAAUAAUACUAAAGGAGUUUUAAUAAUUUGGCCACACAAAAAAAAAAAAGGAAAUAUUAAAUGUAUAGUUUAAUCUCAUUCGUUGGUAUUCUUUUAAUUUAAUGGUUCACAAUUGAAGUAAAAAACUGAGUAUAAAUUUUGGUGCCACGGAUCCACCCCCUACUUGGUAGAUCACAUGUAGAUUUCCUUUUCUUCUAAAAUUGGAUAAUUUUUCCUUUCAAAAAAAUUGGAUAAUUUUUUUUUUUUUAGGAAAUAUGUUAACUCUUUUAUAAUCAACAAAAUAACAUAUAAUAACUCGGAUAGUAGAGUUGCCAAUAAAUUCAUUACCUAAGCAAUUCAACAUUUUUAACAAACAAUAAAGCUUCUUCAAAACUAUCUUACACUACCUAUGUAGAUCAAAUGGCACAAGUACUGUAGAUAUUAUUAGUGACAUUUCUCAAACCUAAAGACCUACAAACUUCUCCCCGAAAGAGGAGGAAUCCUGACAAAAUAAAAACAAAAAUUAAGAAGGAAAAUUUGAGUUAGCAAUGGACCAAUAGAUCAGAAAAUUCCUGACUACAUUGGAUGAGCGUGACAAAAUUUGGCUCAUAUGUAAGAAGUGAUAACAAGUACUAAUUCUAUCCUUGUCGUCAUAAAGACGAGAGUGUUGUCCGAGUUGAUCACAGUUCCAUCAGAAUCACUCAAUAAUUGACUCAAAUUGUUGACUGUGAGCUAGACUUGAAGGAAUGAACUAUGCAGGUAUUGAAGGCUUUUUUUUGGUCAUGAUGCAGGUAUUGAAGGCUAGGGUUGAAGUACUGCCAUUUUGAUUGUGGGAUUGAACUAAUAGAAUUGGAAGAAUGGUUGGACUUCAAUCUUGGUUUUGUAGGGUUGCUUAAUGAUUAUGUUAAAACCCUGCUUCAAAUUCUAAUAACUUAAAUUUUGAAUGGUGUUCUUCUGGGUAGCAGUGACACUCACUAAUACUAUUUUCUCACUUCUGUUUGAAACUUUCCUCUAAUGGCAUAAUUGGUAAGUUUCAAACAGUCUUCCCGUAUAUGCCUAUGUUAGCCUAUGACGACCUCGGAAGAUAUGAUGCAAUACAAUAUCUGAUGCACAAUAUUAGACCUCUUUGCAUUAAAAUUCUCAGUUUACAGAACCUUGCAGAACAAGUUUCAAUUAUCACUAUAUACAAAACUUCAACAAAUUCUUGCCUUUUUCGUAGAAUUAGAUUCUUAUUAAGCACUUCAAUCAAUCUUCUAUUUUUGUAUCCGGUUCCGGUCUUCAUCUGUAAGACAUCAAUGGGUAAAGAACACAUUUUUAUGUCAUGUUUUAAAAGACUCAUACCGUACCAAUUCUUAUUAGGCACUUCAACCAAUCUUCUAUUUUUGUAUCUGGUUCCGAUCUUCAUCUGUAAGACAUCAAUGGGUAAAGAACACAUUUUUAUGUCAUGUUUUAAAAGAUUCACACCGUACCAAUUCUUAUUAGGCACUUCAACCAAUCUUCUAUUUUUGUAUCUGGUUCCGGUCUUCAUCUGUAAGACAUCAAUGGGUAAAGAACACAUUUUUAUGUCAUGUUUUAAAAGAUUCACACU